rnacentral:rRNA from 1 species
AGUGAACGCUGGCGGCAGGCCUAACACAUGCAAGUCGAGCGGCAGCGCGGGGGCAACCCUGGCGGCGAGCGGCGGACGGGUGAGGAAUUCGUCGGAAUCUGCCUUUUUGUGGGGGAUAACGUAGGGAAACUUACGCUAAUACCGCAUACGUCCUACGGGAGAAAGUGGGGGACCGCAAGGCCUCACGCAGAAAGAUGAGCCGACGACCGAUAGCUAGUUGGUGGGGUAAAGGCCCACCAAGGCGACGAUCGGUAGCUGGUCUGAGAGGAUGAUCAGCCACACUGGGACUGAGACACGGCCCAGACUCCUACGGGAGGCAGCAGUGGGGAAUAUUGGACAAUGGGCGCAAGCCUGAUCCAGCCAUGCCGCGUGUGUGAAGAAGGCCUUCGGGUUGUAAAGCACUUUUGUCCGGAAAGAAAUCCCUGGAGCUAAUACCUUCGGGGGAUGACGGUACCGGAAGAAUAAGCACCGGCUAACUUCGUG